GCACGUAACUUUCUCGCAUUGAGUUGCAAGGGGGAGGGGGAUGGGCCCCCUCCGGUUGCGCUGCGUGAAAGG
rnacentral:sRNA from 1 species